rnacentral:misc_RNA from 1 species
UUUCCGUAGGUGAACCUGCGGAAGGAUCCUUAUUGUAUAACCGAGGUGCGAGGGCUGUCGCUGACCCGAAAGGUCGUGCACGCCUGAGUGCCCUCACACACAUCCAUCUCACCCCUAUGUGCACCACCGCGUGGGUCCCCCUUUGGCUUGUUCGGAGGGGGGCUUACGUUUUCACACAAACUUUGUAUGCAGUGUAGAAUGUAUUUUUUGUUUUUGCGAUCACGCAAUCAAUACAACUUUCAACAACGGAUCUCUUGGCUCUC